rnacentral:rRNA from 1 species
GUGGGGAAUAUUGGACAAUGGGCGCAAGCCUGAUCCAGCCAUACCGCGUGGGUGAAGAAGGCCUUCGGGUUGUAAAGCCCUUUUGUUGGGAAAGAAAUCCUGUCGGUUAAUACCUGGCGGGGAUGACGGUACCCAAAGAAUAAGCACCGGCUAACUUCGUGCCAGCAGCCGCGGUAAUACGAAGGGUGCAAGCGUUACUCGGAAUUACUGGGCGUAAAGCGUGCGUAGGUGGUGGUUUAAGUCCGUUGUGAAAGCCCUGGGCUCAACCUGGGAAUUGCAGUGGAUACUGGAUCACUAGAGUGUGGUAGAGGGAUGCGGAAUUUCUGGUGUAGCAGUGAAAUGCGUAGAGAUCAGAAGGAACAUCCGUGGCGAAGGCGGCAUCCUGGGCCAACACUGACACUGAGGCACGAAAGCGUGGGGAGCAAACAGGAUUAGAUACCCCGGUAGUCC